rnacentral:rRNA from 2 species
GAAUAACAGUGGGAAACGACUGCUAAUACCGGAUGAUGACGAAAGUCCAAAGAUUUAUCGCCAGAGGAUGAGCCCGCGUANGAUUAGCUAGUUGGUGUGGUAAAGGCGCACCAAGGCGACGAUCCUUAGCUGGUCUGAGAGGAUGAUCAGCCACACUGGGACUGAGACACGGCCCAGANUCCUACGGGAGGCAGCAGUGGGGAAUAUUGGACAAUGGGCGAAAGCCUGAUCCAGCAAUGCCGCGUGAGUGAUGAAGGCCUUAGGGUUGUAAAGCUCUUUUACCCGGGAUGAUAAUGACAGUACCGGGAGAAUAAGCUCCGGCUAACUCCGUGCCAGCAGCCGCGGUAAUACGGAGGGAGCUAGCGUUGUUCGGAAUUACUGGGCGUAAAGCGCACGUAGGCGGCUUUGUAAGUUAGAGGUGAAAGCCUGGAGCUCAACUCCAGAACUNCCUUUAAGACUGCAUCGCUUGAAUCCAGGAGAGGUGAGUGGAAUUCCGAGUGUAGAGGUGAAAUUCGUAGAUAUUCGGAAGAACACCAGUGGCGAAGGCGGCUCACUGGACUGGUAUUGACGCUGAGGUGCGAAAGCGUGGGGAGCAA